GACCGGGAGAGACUGUGACGACACAGCGCCGAAGGGGAUGCGAAAACUCUCAGGCAAAAGGACCGGUUU
rnacentral:ncRNA from 1 species